rnacentral:rRNA from 1 species
UACAGAGGGUGCGAGCGUUGUCCGGAAUUAUUGGGCGUAAAGGGCUCGUAGGCGGUUUGUCGCGUCGGGAGUGAAAACCCAGGGCUUAACUCUGGGCUUGCUUUCGAUACGGGCAGACUAGAGGUAUGCAGGGGAGAACGGAAUUCCGUGGUGUAGCGGUGAAAUGCGCAGAUAUCAGGAGGAACACCGGUGGCGAAGGCGGGUCUCGUGGGCCGAAACUGGACGCUGAGGAGCGAAAGCGUGGGGAGCAAACAGGA